UCCUGGUUACCCAGGCAGUCUCGUUAGAGUUCCCACCCGAAGUGUUGGCAACUAACGAUAGGGGUUGCGCUCGUUGGGGGACUUAACCCUACACCUCACGGCACGAGCUGACGACAGCCAUGCAGCACCUGUGCUAGCGGCCCUUGCGGGAAGCGACAUCUCUGCCGCGGUCCACUAGCAUGUCAAACCUGGGUGAGGUUCUUCGUUUAGCAUCGAAUUAAACCACAUGCUCCACUGCUUGUGCGAGCCCCCGUCAAUUCUUUUGAGUUUCACCCUUGCGAGCGUACUUUUCAGGCGGCAUACUUAUCGCGUUAGCUUCGACACGACUGGGGUUGAGACCAAUCACGUCAAGUAUGCAUCGUUUAGGGCAAGGACUAC
rnacentral:misc_RNA from 1 species